UACGGAGGUGCAACGUUGCUCGGAAUCAUUGGGCGUAAAGCGCACGUAGGCGGACCGCUAAGUCGGAUGUGAAAGCCCUCGGCUUAACCGAGGAAGUGCAUUCGAAACUGACGGUCUUGAGUAUGGAAGAGGGUCGCGGAAUUCCCGGUGUAGAGGUGAAAUUCGUAGAUAUCGGGAGGAACACCAGUGGCGAAGGCGGCGACCUGGGCCA
rnacentral:rRNA from 1 species